ACCCCUCAGAUGGAGGUUCCUGGAGGUUCCGCUCUUCCUCCGCCGGCGGUUCCUCCGGGGGUGGGGACACCGACACCCACGUGUGGCUCGGGACACUUUGGGUGCGGUGCCCGAACCGCCCGCGGUGCGGCUGAUGCACGUGCUCGCAGGUGCACGGAGGCUACCGGGUGCUAAGCCCACGGUUGCGCUGUGUUUCGUGCUUGGAUCCCCCCCCCCCAUUAUGGUUUCUGGGGCUCUCGGUCCGCUCCGACCUAGAGGAAUACGCCCCCCCAAUCCAGGGGGGGUACCCUGAGCCCCGCUCACCCCCACUUACGGUCUCCCGGAGGAAACUGUGGGCCUGGGCUUCGUGUCUGCCUGGACUACAACACAUGUCCCAAGUCCCAAGUGACCUGUGAGGAUGUGAGUUCUGAGUAAAUUCCCUGCCUGCUUUUUGCUUUCCUGAGAAAAUAAACUGGAACUUGAGGAAAAAUUCAAGAACAUAGAAAAUGAGAGAAGGCUCUACUCUGACGGGACUUAGGAUGUGUGACUUACCAAGGUCUUGCUGUGAGACACACAUGCAGAGCUAAUAUACCUCCAACAGUUCCCUCUCCACUACAGUUCUGAGACCUGACAACUGGGUCCUCCUCAGCCAGAAGUCCUCACGGGUCACCCCAACAAACUGGUCCCCCCAUUAAGAGUGUGUGUGUGUGUCUGCAUAUGUAUCUGCUUAUCUGUACAACUUUUGUGCCUACCAUCUGUUUACCAGCUGUAAUUGCAAGUAGGAAAGAGGAGAGGGAAUAAA